rnacentral:rRNA from 1 species
AUUGAACGCUGGCGGCAGGCCUAACACAUGCAAGUCGAGCGGAUGAAGGGAGCUUGCUCCUGGAUUCGGCGGCGGACGGGUGAGUAAUGCCUAGGAAUCUGCCUGGUAGUGGGGGAUAACGUCCGGAAACGGGCGCUAAUACCGCAUACGUCCUGAGGGAGAAAGUGGGGGAUCUUCGGACCUCACGCUAUCAGAUGAGCCUAGGUCGGAUUAGCUAGUUGGUGGGGUAAAGGCCUACCAAGGCGACGAUCCGUAACUGGUCUGAGAGGAUGAUCAGUCACCCUGGAACUGAGACACGGUCCAGACUCCUACGGGAGGCAGCAGUGGGGAAUAUUGGACAAUGGGCGAAAGCCUGAUCCAGCCAUGCCGCGUGUGUGAAGAAGGUCUUCGGAUUGUAAAGCACUUUAAGUUGGGAGGAAGGGCAGUAAGUUAAUACCUUGCUGUUUUGACGUUACCAACAGAAUAAGCACCGGCUAACUUCGUG